UACGUAGGGUGCAAGCGUUGUCCGGAAUUAUUGGGCGUAAAGAGCUCGUAGGCGGUCUGUCGCGUCUGCUGUGAAAACUCAGGGCUUAACCCUGAGCUUGCAGUGGGUACGGGCAGACUAGAGUGCGGUAGGGGAGACUGGAAUUCCUGGUGUAGCGGUGAAAUGCGCAGAUAUCAGGAGGAACACCGGUGGGCGAAGGCGGGGUCUCUGGGCCGUAACUGACGCUGGAGACGCGAAAGCCGUGGGGAGCGAACAGG
rnacentral:rRNA from 1 species